CACUCGGAGCGUGUUCUCCCUGGCGCCGCCGCCGAUUUGCUGCGCCUCCUCAACCGCCAUGUUUACAUUGGCCGCGUCUGGGCACUUCCGUUGUCGUGGACAGUAGGGUCUUUUGUAUGGUUUUUCUUUUUUUCUUUCUUUUUUUUUCGAGACUACCUCUACGAUCAACUGCGCUACUUUUGACAAUGAAAGUCCUGGGGACUCGGUGGGAGCGGCGACUGGGGCGCGAGGGCGGGGUCUUGCCCGGACUAAAGAUGGCCGCCGCCAGUGCCGCCCCGCGCAAUUUCACGUCAGGUUCUGGAGCCCAGGGAGCCGCGGGGUUGGCCCCCCGCUCCUUACGGAAUUGGCGUAAAGCUGGGAGGCGCCGGUUAAAGAGCCUGGCAGCUCUUGGAAAACUGCCCUCGGGGUGGGGGCCCCGCAGAGGUCGCUGGGCCGUGGACCUGACGUCUUUGAAAGAAGAAGGCAGGUGUCUGUCCUCGUCUCCUCACUCGGGUGACUUUGUGGGUGGGUAGCGAGGUUAGGCCCUGCUCGCCUGGACACUUCCUGCUGGUCAUCCCCGGUGGUCUGGCGCACACAUGAGGCCGGCUGUGCAGUCUCCUCACACUCCCUUGGUGACUCACCUUGGUCCCUGCUCUCGCUCUGCUUGAGGAAAUGAAUGGACACACGUGAAGGAAGCUCGGGACCAGUUGAGGGUUGAAAGGCGGGAGGUGUCGUUUUCUGCUGUCUUUGGAGCGAGCCUUCCCUCACAUGUUUCCUAGUGAGAGUGUCCUCAGUUUGCCAUGGAUACUCCCUGUCUGUCUCCCCUUUCUUGAGACUGAUGCUCCCUUCGCUGUAAAGUUCACGCCCAAGCUAAGGGGUUUUGUAUACAAAGUUACUGUGAGCACUAAAGAAAUGUUCACAGCAGCAGGGCUCUAUCCGUGAAACAGUAUCUACCAAUGGAAUCGAUAAGUUACAGUGUUUUAAAAGUUGAUACAAAGAGGACUGCUAUGUGAACUCAGUGAAUUACAGCUAUCAGCAUUAAUAUGGAGAACAAUAAUGAGGGGGAAGCACGUUGCAAAAAUUAUCUAGUAUAAGUAGCGUUUUUAGGGAGGUUUUAGUUUUUAGAUGAGAAGCUGUGAACUCAAAGUGCAAAGGUCUCAUAAAUGAUACAUAUAAAGUUUAAAAUAAUGGCUACUUUUACGGAAGAGGAGAUGGAGUGAAACAGGAAGUGUUCCAUUGUAUCUUUAUUUUUCUGUCCAAGUAAUCUGAAGAAAAUGUGAAAGCCAAAAGUUAAGGUAUGUUAAAAUUAAGUAUAGGGCACAUGGGUGUUCAAUUUUCUUGUAUGACAGCACAUGCAAGGGUGCUUGAAAUACUUCCAAGUAGCUUUUUUAAGGAAAUAAAUUUUAUCUAAGAAAACCAAUUAUAUUGUAUCUUGAUUUAUUCUGUUCCUACAUCUACAUUUUUACAUUUUAAAAGUAUCCCACCUUAGCUGUCAACCAAUCACUGUGUUAAAAUUCUAUCUUUAAUUUUCUGCCUCAAAAAAAGCCAUGUAGCUUGCCAGUCGGGGUGCACUACUUUUGCAGAUCUCUGAGUUCCAGGCCAGCCUGGUCUGGGUGAGGUCCAGAACAGCCAGAGCUAGAGAGCGAGAGAGAGAUUUCUUACACGUGCAACAUUGAAAAAAUACUAUUAUUGAUAUAAUUUAAUAUAAUCUAUAAAGAAAAUACUUGUCUUUGUUAGUAAAUUUCUUUGAGAACAAGCUUUUAGUAGGAUCUGAAUCUCAUUAAGAGAUUGGUGAAUUGUGAGCUUUGUCAUUUCCUGAAAAUGGAUAGUUUUUCAAUAUAAAUAACGUCAAAGUUACAUUUGUGCUGUCAUACAAAGUCCACCCCAAAUAAUAACUUCAGUGUUUUCCAUUGAAAAUGUGUGGAAAUGAGAUUAUACCAUGUGGAGCUUUCUCAGAAAGAGAUUCGAUAACCAAUGUUAUAUACUGUAUAUAUGUUAAAAAUUACAUGUAAGAUAUAGAAAGUAAGAAUCGUGCUCAUUUUAUGAUCUCUCUUUGUGCUGUCUAGAGUAUUACAUUUAUUAAUAAAAUAAUUCCUAGAUCUUAACCAAA